rnacentral:rRNA from 1 species
GAUCCUGGCUCAGGAUGAACGCUGGCGGCGUGCUUAACACAUGCAAGUCGAACGGGAAUUAUUUUAUUGAAACUUCGGUCGAUUUAAUUUAAUUCUAGUGGCGGACGGGUGAGUAACGCGUGGGUAACCUGCCUUAUACAGGGGGAUAACAGUCAGAAAUGACUGCUAAUACCGCAUAAGCGCACGGAACCGCAUGGUUCUGUGUGAAAAACUCCGGUGGUAUAAGAUGGACCCGCGUUGGAUUAGCUUGUUGGUGAGG